AAUAUCAUCUUGCAAACACUUUUGCUGUAAAGCCUGUAAAGUGGUCUGCCUUUCAGGAACUAACUUUUGAACUCUGGAUUGCAAUUCUUCUAACAAGUCAAGCUGUAUUUUCAUAUCGCGCUCUUGCUCCUCCUGCUCAAUAGGAAUAUCAAGUAAGCUUUGACCAGAAUUAUCAGUUGAGGAAAUGGACGAUUCUAGUAAUGCGCUAAUUUUGGAAGAGUUACACAACGUUUCUACAUCAUCUUUUACUAAAGCAUAUUGUUGGGAUAUAGCGGAAUCAGUAGCGGAAGCCUCUGCCAAGGUCUUCAAGUAAUUGUUGAGUUCACUUUGAUAAGGAGCGGCAAACUCUAAGCUAUCUGAUAACGUCCACGAGGGUCCAAGUUUCGCCUUCAUCUUGGCAUUUUCAUUGGCUUCCACUUCUAAGUCACUCUUAAUUUUCGCUAUAAUUUGCUUCAACUUUGUGGAUUUUGCAAACAACUCGUGAAUUUUAAAAGUAGGAUUAAAAGAAAUAAGUUGGGAACGAGCUUCUAUAAGUUCUUUCGGAAUAAAGUUCGUUUUGGAAUCCGAAUGUGUGAUUUCUUGAAGCCGGCUAAGGUCUAAGGAGGCGAAAACCGUUGCCAUUUGGGUGUUUUGUCGUUCUACUUCAGCUUGUUCAGCGCGAAACACUUUGGCAGUCUCCUCUGAAUACAGCGAACUGGCGGUCGUAACGGCGCUAGGCACAAAGGCCUUGAACAAAUCAUCUCCAACAAUUUUUUUUGCAGUUUCAAAUCCAUCUUGACUUCCAUACAAUUUCUCUAAAGGAAGUGGUGGUAGAGCUUGCAAAGGAGAUAUUUUUGGGAGCUCAACUUCCUUGACUACAAGAUCAUGAAACACAAAGUCAUUAUCUUUCUCAGCAGUUUUUAACAAAUGAGACAAGGAGGAUUUGAUGAAGGUAGAAAUGGUCUGAGGAUAGUCAGAAAGACUAGGCUUAUGAAUA